GGAAAAAAAACAGAACAAAAAAUAAAUAAAUAAAAUCACGAAAGUGGUCACAAAGAAUAAAGAUUUUCUGGUGAGGGCACACAUGAUAACAAUGUCUUGUUAUCAAUCUUACAUGUGUAUAGAUUAUUGAUCUUACCAUAGAAGUCUUAUAUUACUGUAGAUUGUUGUGAUUUUCAUUUAGAAGUGUUGGCCUCUCACUGUCUGUGUUAAAACUUUUGACUGCUGUGUUGAAGACUCACACUGAUAACAGCCCUCCGCCCUUUGGAGAAAUCGCUCCCAAGGGAAAAGACGAAAUGACCUUGUGUGUGUAGAACUUGCUGAUAACUUGUCUCUUCUGUCUAUCCCUCCCUUCUCUGAAAAUAAAAGACGAGCUCUAACUGGAAGUUAUCAGAACGCGCAGUGGGCAGCUUGCUGGAGCGGUUCGCCACUUCUUCUCCUUUCAUGAAAGCUUGGCAGAAAGGACGCGCUGAAAACCUUCAAUGGCCAGAGUCAACAAGACUUGGAAACAAAGACCCGGGAGGCAAAAUUCUUCACUGGACAGCGCCUAUGUCUGACUUUGUCUGCCAAUGGCGGAUUGACGAGAUCCAACCGGACAAUACGAACCGACAGGAACUGCGUCUGACCUCUGACCUCAACUCAGACCUGUCCUGCAAUAGAUCAGAUGACGUCCUUUCCUCAUCAUCAGCCAAUGACAGCGAUGAAGAAGCCAAAAAAGGACAAGGACGAUUUCUACCACCGGGGCACUGACAGCACUGAAGUGUCCGCUGAUCCGAAUUCCCUGACAUGGGAACUUCAUAAAUCAUGAAGUAUUUGUCUGCAUUUAACUCAAACAUUUAAUUUAGAAUUUAUUUCUGUAAAGAAUCUACAGAUUGAUUGAAAUUGGUUUUGUGUUUCUGUUUAUGUCACUUUUCAUGUUGGUAUGAAUGAAUGUUAUUAUGAGAACAGACAAACUGUACUCAAGAAUUGAGUAACGGAUGAGAUUAUUAACCAUUUCAUUUUAAAACUCACAUUGUCAGCUGAUCUGAAAUGCAAGGUUGAAUACAAUUCUGAUAUUUUAAGCAACCCUAGUAGAUGUAAAUAGUUACUCAAAACUGAUGAUUGUAAAUAAAAGCAACAUCUUCUAGACUUCAGUAAAACCUGUAAUCUAGAUUUGAUUGAUUGAUGAUCAUAAAAUUUGUAAAGAAAUAUUGAAUUAGAGGAUUUGAGAUUUGGUUAAAUUCAGGGAAUUGGAAUUGGAAAAACACAUGUGGAUAACUGAAGGGGCAACAGUGAAUAAUGAUACAAUUUUUCAGGUAAAAUAAAAUGAAAAAAAAAAAACCUGUUCUACAGAAAUCCCGGUUUGAAGCAGCAGAAAUUUUGACACAAGAAUAUUAGCAGAUUAUAUGAUCAGGACUCUUAAAGAGAAGGAAGUGUCCAGUGCAAAUGUACUACCUUCUGAUUCUCUUCCUUUGCAGGAGACCACUCCCAUCGAGCCAGGGGACUGGGUCUACAUUAAAGUCAUCAAACGAAAACUGGGCCAGUCCCACAGUGGGAAGGGCCGCUCCAGGUGCUGAUGACCACACCAACAGCUGUAAAGAUUGCUGAAAGACCCAGCUGGAUACAUCUCAGUCACUGCAAGCUGCAGAGAGUGUUGGAGCACUAAUUCAGGGUAGCGGGGAAGAGCUACAAAGGGGUUCCAAACCAAUAGGGUGGUUCGUCUCAACGCUUGUGAAGAAAUCCUUUAGUGAGGAUCCCUUUAACAGGAACUGGUGGAACUAUUUCUGACGCUCCACAUGAGCUGGAGGAACUUUACGUGGAAAGUGAAACGCAUGGAUCACAUUCUUUUAACUUUCUUUCUUGGCUCACGUCUGGAACCUGGUGAUCCUUUUUUUGCCUGUUCACAACUUGCAUCAUUCCAUGCCUUCAAAGCAUGAUGCAAAAGACAUUUAACACCACUGUGAUCAGCUAUCAGCUGGUGAGAACAACCUGUGACACACGAGUUUGACUUGUUCCAUAUGGAUAAGAUGCGCUGAAAAGUGGAUUAUAUGACGAUGUUCUGUAAUCAAUAAACAGAUUAAAUAAUUUGCUGAAUGAUUCCUACACUGAGAAUGUGAAAACAAGUGGUGUUAGUGAUGAUAGAAAUAACUGCAUUUGGUUUUCUGCUAUUUCUUUUAUAUCUUAUAUUUUUCUAUUAUACAUUUAUAUGUCUUUUAUGGUGUUUUCCGUUUCUUGGACUAGAAAAAAAUAUAUAUAUAUUGCAUUCUUAUUGUUCCUUUUCUAUUCUUUUCGUAGAUUUCGAAUAGUUUAUGCAUGAGUAAAAAUGAUAAAGAGGAGGGAAUGUUGGAAAUAUUAUGUUAUCAUUCUUACAUGUGUAUAGAUUAUUGGUCUUACCAUAGCAGUCUUCUAUUACUAUAGAUUACUGUGAUUUUACUUUAGAAGUGUUGGCCUCUAACUGUCUGUGUUAAAACUUUUGACUGCUGUGUUGAAGACUCUCAAACCAAUAGCAGCCCUCCGCCCUUUGGAGAAAUUGCCCCCAAGGGAAAAGACGAAAUGACCUUGUGUGUAGAACUUGCUGAUAACUUGUCUCUUCUGUCUAUCCCUCCCUUCUCUGAAAAUAAAAGACGAGCUCUAACUGGAA